rnacentral:rRNA from 1 species
GAGUAUAAGCCAAUGGAGCUUGGAAGGCUUCCGCAGAUGGUGUCCACCAUACGUGGUGUUCUUAAGACCUUGAGUCUCGCUCGUCAGGCGUAGCAUUGAGUUUGCCAGGUUAGCUGUCGUGCGGGGGUUCGGCUUGGAGGUCUCAGGCUUCGGCCGAAGGGCUUCCGGCUGUCCCCUUUUGAAUGGACGUUCAGAGCUCUUGUGUCUAAUGCGGUUAUGCCCACCACAGCACGUUGUGAGGUCACCCACAGGCUCAAACUGCCGAUCGCGUAUCCAGGACGAUGGCAACGAUGCGUUGUUGGCGCGCGUGCGGGAGCGAGUCUCUCCACGCCGUCACACGCGUGUCUAGUCCUGGGUCGGGCGGCGACCGAGAUAAACCUGGUGCGAUCCUCUUGCGACGAGCUGCUUUCUGGCCAGACCGACGCCCAGGCGCCUCCACUGUGCCGGAGGCGUCAAUCCCAGGCGGUGUGAACCCAGCUGCAUUAUGCAAGGUCUCUCAGCCGGGCGUUGGUCUGAGUGGUGUCAAGUCCAGCACCAUCGGUCACGUCUCGAAACACGGGCCAAGGAGUAUAGCAUGUGUGCAAGUCUAAGGGUCUCACAAAACCCGAAGGCGAAGUGAAAGCAAGACUGUGGCGGGGGAGCCACGGCAAACCCGCCGGCCUAGUGCGGCGCCUCGUGCGUCGCCUGGCUUCAAGCAGAGCUGAUCCUGUUUUCUCGGUUAAUUCUUGGUGCAGGCGCAAGCUCCGGGCUCACGUACAACACUGGUCACGCCUCGUGCGUGGCUGUGCUGUGAGC